GACGUUGACGGGGAAGCGUUAUUGAUCGUGACUAGGUGUAAAGUGUGACUAACUGGUUUAAGAAUUUAAAAAGUAAAUCAAAGAUUGGACGAAGAUUUUUUUAAAACCUUAAUACAAGAAAUUAAAUUAAAUUAAUGAUAAGUACAGUAUAGAGAUAAAAUUCAAAAAUACUGUAAGGAUCUUCAAAAGCCUCGGCAGUUUUUUUAUUUAAUUUUUCACUGAAUCACUAAAGUACGAGUAUCAAUUAGGAUUGGAGACCCUAGUAGUUCGUACCCUGAAUUUAUGAAUAUUUUAUAUAAUUUUUUAAUUAUAUAUAAGCUAACGCGUAAAUAUUUCACCUGGGGAGUAAAGCUGCAAAGGUAAAACUUAAAAAGAUUGGCGGGAGUUUGUAUAAAUGGUGGAGCGUGUGGUUUAAUUCGACAAUCCACGUUAAAUCUUACCAAUGUAUUUUAAAAUAAUUUAGAUAAGUUUUAUUAUUAUUUUCGAAAUAUUUUAAAUUAGUACUGCAUGGCUGUCGUCAGUUUGUGUUGUAAAAUGUAAUAUUAAGUUAUUAAACAAACGCAACCCCUUAGAUAAGUAUUAUAUAUUUUUUUUUUAAAGAAACUCUAUAAUACGAUAAAAAUUUUUAUCGUAUUAUUGCGGCUUAAAUAAUUAAUUAUAUUAUUUAUUUUAAUAUAGAGCGAGUAAAUAAAAUUUGUUCGUAUAUAUUUUAUAUAUACUAGUAAAUAUAAAUUUAAUAUAUUAAGUUUUAUAUAUUAGAUUUGUUUAUGAUUAUUAAACAAAUAAUCUUGUCCUAAGGAAGUUAGGGGUAGAAGUCAAGUCAUUAUGGUCUAGAUAUGUUGGGCUACACACGCGCUACAAAGUUAAAAACAAUGAGAUGCGAAAAUGAAAAUUUAAGCAAAUCUUUAAAAAUUAACUAAGUUCCGAUUGUAAACUGAAACUCGUUUACAUGAAGAUGGAAUCAUUAGUAAUCGUAAAUUAGAAUGUUACGGUGAAUGAUAUAUCAAACUU
rnacentral:rRNA from 1 species